AUUGAACGCUGGCGGCAUGCUUUACACAUGCAAGUCGAACGGCAGCGGGGAGGAGCUUGCUUCUCUGCCGGCGAGUGGCGAACGGGUGAGUAAUACAUCGGAACGUGUCGAGAAGAGGGGGAUAACCACCCGAAAGGGUGGCUAAUACCGCAUAAAUUCUGAGGAAGAAAGCUGGGGACCUAGGAAUAGGCCUAGCGCUUUUUGAGUGGCCGAUGUCGGAUUAGCUAGUUGGUGAGGUAAAGGCUCACCAAGGCGAAGAUCUGUAGCGGGUCUGAGAGGAUGAUCCGCCACACUGGGACUGAGACACGGCCCAGACUCCUACGGGAGGCAGCAGUGGGGAAUUUUGGACAAUGGGGGCAACCCUGAUCCAGCCAUGCCGCGUGUAUGAAGAAGGCCUUAGGGUUGUAAAGUACUUUUGUUAGGGAAGAAAAGUCAGCUGUGAAUAAUGGCUGAUACUGACGGUACCUAAAGAAUAAGCACCGGCUAACUACGUG
rnacentral:rRNA from 1 species